UUAUCUCGCUCCAUCAGGUCACGUCAAAAUUGGGUUUCCGCUCUCGUUCUCAUGCUCUGCCCAAUCCAUCUUCAUCAGGUAAACCCUAACUCUUAAAGGCACAGAUCUCUCCGCUAUCAUCAUUGAUGCACUUCAGUAUCUCGAUGGAAUCAAACAGGUGUUCAGAGCUGAUAUACAUCCAAGUGCAAGAGGCUAUGAUGAUCUCAACUUCGUGAAUCAGAAGCCAACAAUGAACCAAUUGGAUAUAGACAAUUGGAGAACCAACUGGAGCAAAAGUAAACAGAACGGACCCAACUAAAGAAAGACACUUGCAGCAACAAGCUGCUGAUUUAUCAUGAUAUUAUCUCGUGUGGUUCACUUAGAGAGAAUUUAAUGUAACAAUUUAGUGACUGUGUAUUCUAUUUGUAAUUGUUACUAGUAAUUAAUGUAAUUAUACAGUUUGUAAGUUCGUUUGACGUGUUUUAUAAUAACUUAAUGAAUUUGACGUGU
rnacentral:lncRNA from 1 species